UACGGGGGGAGCAAGCGUUGUUCGGAUUUACUGGGCGUAAAGGGCGCGUAGGCGGUCGUGACAAGUCACUUGUAAAAUCUCCGGGCUUAACCCGGAGCGGCCAAGUGAUACUGUUGUGCUAGAGUACAGUUGCUGUGGGCGGAGUAUGACGUGUAGUGGUGAAAUACAUAGAGAUGUCAUAGAACACCGAUUGCGAAGGCAGCUCACAAAACUGUAACUGGCACUGAGGCUCGAAAGUGCGGGGAUCAAACAGG
rnacentral:rRNA from 1 species